rnacentral:rRNA from 1 species
UACGUAGGGGGCAAGCGUUGUCCGGAUUUAUUGGGCGUAAAGAGCGUGUAGGCGGCCAGACAGGUCAGCUGUGAAAACUCGAGGCUCAACCUCGAGACGUCGGUUGAAACCGUCUGGCUAGAGUCCGGAAGAGGAGAGUGGAAUUCCCGGUGUAGCGGUGAAAUGCGCAGAUAUCAGGAAGAACACCGAUGGCGAAGGCAGCUCUCUGGGGACGGUACUGACGCUGAGACGCGAAAGCGUGGGGAGCGAACAGGAUUA